AAGUCGUAACAAGGUCUCCGUAGGUGAACCUGCGGAGGGAUCAUUAACACGUUUUAAAACACGUUUUAACACACCCAACAACCAACCACGUGAACUAUUUAACACUCCUGGAAAAGAGAGAAUUCUGUCUAUGCAAACACUAAUGAUGAGCUCUCGCAAGGGAGCGGUGUGUGUAGACUAGCAUUGCAGGCAACUGACUUUGUAAAGACCUUUCUUUUCUGGGCUAAAUGCCUUUCUCAUCACUGGGGCGAAAACACCACUUUCACUACUUCUAUAACCAUUGACUGUAUCUUUUUUUAAUUGUUCUGCGCAAGCAGUGCUAAUUGAAAGAAACCAUAAUCAAAUAUCUAAGCACAACUCUUAGCAACGGAUAUCUUGGUUCUC
rnacentral:misc_RNA from 1 species